rnacentral:rRNA from 1 species
UACGUAGGAUGCAAGCGUUGUUCGGAAUUACUGGGCGUAAAGAGUACGUAGGCGGUGACAUAAGUCUGAAAUUAAAGACAGAAGCUCAACUUCUGGAAUGUAUCGGAAACUGUGUUACUAGAGGAUAGUAGAGGAAGUCGGAAUUCUCAGUGUAGCGGUGAAAUGCGUAGAUAUUGGGAAGAACACCAGUGGCGAAAGCGGACUUCUGGGCUAUUACUGACGCUGAGGUACGAAAGCGUGGGGAGCGAACAGG